rnacentral:rRNA from 1 species
AAUAUUGCGCAAUGGAGGAAACUCUGACGCAGCGACGCCGCGUGAGCGGUGAAGGUCUUCGGAUCGUAAAGCUCUGUCCUUGGGGCAGAAGAUCGAAAGAUUUGACGGUAUCCGAGGAGGAAUCUCCGGCCACCUACGUGCCGGACGCCGCGGUAAUACGUAGGGGGCAAGCGUUGUCCGGAAUUAUUGGGCAUAAAGGGUGCGUAGGCGGCCUUUUAAGUCAGAUGUAAAAGCCCACGGCUUAACCGGGGGAGUGCAUUUGAAACUGGAGGGCUUGAGUAUCGGAGAGGGUAGUGGAAUUCCCAGUGUAGCGGUGGAAUGCGUAGAUAUUGGGAGGAACACCAGUGGCGAAGGCGACUACCUGGACUGAUACUGACACUGAGGUGCGAAAGCGUGGGGAGCAAACA